UGACUUGUUUUCGAGAACGAGUUGUAGUAUUCAGGUGUGCCAAGAUGGCAUCUAUAACGUCCUCACCUGGGGAGAAAGGAGGAAUAGCUGCAGGCCCGAAUUUCCGACAACAUCCCACAGUUCCACUGGCUUGUCACCGUGGUACCUCAAGCUCCCUGGGCCUCCACACAUGCACAUCUUUGGCCGAGGACCUGCUCUUCCUUCGAACAUCCCUAUUCCUGUUAUUGGCAUCACCAGUCUCUGUCACAUGUGCUUCAAACCAUGGGGUCCUCUUUUGAUGCUUCCUUUUGCAACCCCACUUACUAUCCAAUCAACUUCUAAAUCCAAUAGAUUUAACACCCCAGUACAUCUCCAAUCUAUCCAUCUCUUCUUUUCCAUUUGAGAGGGAAGAACUGCCUGAUGACUAGAGGGUCAGGCUCAGUCAAGGAGGCCUAGAUGUGAAUCCUAUUUCUGAUACUUACUAGUUGGGUAACACAGACAAGUCACUUGAUCCCCCCUGAAUCUAAGGGUCUUAGUCUAUAAAAUGAAUAUAAGGCCACCUCUGUACUACCUAAAUCAUGGUUCUGGUGCGAGGCAACAAAUGAGAUAAUGGGCCUAAAGCACAUUUCAAACCUUAAAAUGCUACAUAGUUAUUAUUAUUAUUAUUAUUAUUAUUGGUAUUCCAUUACCACUGCCAACAUCUUAAUCCAGGCACUCCUCACCUCUCACCCUGGACCACUGUAAUGUCUCCCAGGCUCUCUACCUCCAGUCUCCUUCUGUCCCAAUCUAUGUUAUUCACCAUUGCCAGUGUCAUCUUCCUAAUGAACUGAUUAUAUUACUCAAAUAUUCAAGAAUCUUUGGUAGCUUUCUCAGCUUUGUCUCUGAACUUAGUUCACAGUUCAGCUGGCCUGUAAUGGGUUAAGUUUAAAAAUCCAGCUCCCCUGCCUCAUGGAAUUUAACUGACCUUAGAGAAUGUGUGAGAAAGCAAUGGAGUUUGGGCUUGAUAUCUUUAUGGCCCCAGGCUAUCCUUCAAGAUGUCUGGUUUGCUGUCCAAAAGUCUGGGCCACUGUCUCACACCUGGAUUCAAACAACGAGCACUUCUUAGUCUCAUGAGAGAAGGGGGGUUGUUGCUAGCCCCCAUUACCAAACUUCCAACCAAUACGGUUGUACCCUGUGCCUCAGCUCUAUAACCAGUCAUAUUGCCUUUAAUUCCAUGAUCCCACCUACUCUGCUCUGUUCUUUGGUCUGUACUCCCCAAACCCUACAAAAGGGGAACUGUCCUCUUCCUCUGCAUUAAUGGAGACGAGCCAUUGACCCAUUUAUUAACAGGUAGCGUGCCCCUGCUAGUAAAUGUUAUCUGGUACAGAGAUCUGCCUUAGUUUACCCUUUUGUUAAAAUCUGAGUCAUGACAGCUGGAAGGGACUUUAGCAGUCAACAGGUUCAAUGCUCUCAUUUGACAGAUGAGGAAACUAAGCCUCAAGAAUGUUAAGUGACUUGGCCCAUGAUCAAAUAGCCACUAAGUAUCUGAGGCGGAUGCAAACCCAGGCCUUCUUCUCUACAUGUCUAACAUAGCAGUUUGAUCUAAAUGUCUGCUAAAUUAAACUCAAUCAAACAUUUUAAAUCAUCAUUUCAUUUUGUCCUCACAAUGUCUCCUCUGGUAGGGCAUUUUCGGAAGUGUAUAGCUGAAGAAACUGUGAUACAAAAAGAAUAAAUGAUUUAUUCAAGA